AAUUUUGAAAACACACGCUCAGAAUCUCUCUCUCUACAUCACUCUCUUCAUCUUCUCUCUUCCUCCAUCCCUCUGAAAAGCCACAAUAAACCCAUCUCAAUCCCUUUGAACCGCCCCAUCUCAAUCUCUUCCUCCAUCCGAGCUCUACAACUAGCGUGGCUCUGGCACAGAGGUAAAGAAUUUCUCUCAAUCAUCCAAAAACCAGAGUCAGAUCUGUGAACCCUCCUCCAAAUCCACGGAGGUUUUGGCAAUAUUAAGCUGGAACGACCUCUAACAUUAUGGAUAAUCAAGAUGGAGACUUACAACGAACUGUUCAGUUUCUUCAACAAAGAAAUGUCGGUGUAGUGAUUCGUGAUGAGCAUGAUUUCAAUGUCGUUCGUAUUUCUAAUGCAAUGGAAAAGGAAAAUGCAAAUGCAAUGUUGAAAGGAAAAGAAAAGGUGUCUUAUGCUUCCAAGGGCAAGGGAAAGGAAAAUGCAUGUCCAGCGGUAUAGUUCUUAAUGGUUUUUGUAAAGUGUUUUUUUUUUUUUUUUCUUAAAUUGUUAGUUUUCCUAUGUUUGUAUUUUAAGCCAUAAUUGUAGAGUGUUUUUGAAAAUGCAUGUCUAAUUAUUUAUUUUAAACCAUAAUUGUAUUUUUAUCUUUUAAACUGUGCACUUUUUUAAGUGUCUCCUGUAUAUAUGUGUAAAUCUGCACCACUUUUCAAUGUAAGUGGGCGAAAAUUUUGAGAUAAGAGAUAAAGAGAGGAGAGAGAAAAUGGGCAAAAUUUUUUUUUUUUUCCAGCUAUGUGAAUGGGGAUACUUUAUGAAGUUCAUAAGUUGUCUGAACAUUUGUUUGUUUGUAUAACAAAACCAUACAAUUUAUUAUAUAGAUUAUAAAUGACAAUUUUGAGUUAUGUCAUUUUUUUUUUAGUUAUGACCA